rnacentral:rRNA from 1 species
UACGUAGGGUGCGAGCGUUAAUCGGAAUUACUGGGCGUAAAGCGUGCUCAGGCGGCUUUGUAAGACGGAUGUGAAAUCCCUGGGCUUAACCUAGGAACUGCGUUCGUGACUGCAAAGCUAGAGUGCGGCAGAGGGGGGUGGAAUUCCUGGUGUAGCAGUGAAAUGCGUAGAGAUCAGGAGGAACACCGAUGGCGAAGGCAGACCCCGGGGUUGACACUUACGCUCAUGCACGAGAGCGUGGGGAGCAAACAGG